rnacentral:misc_RNA from 1 species
UAGCACAUCGUCUACCAAAUGCUAACUCCUCAGGAACUCCUGUCACUCUUCUACUGUGUCUUGGACUUCACGAAAAAGGUCAUUGAAUAUGCACAACAAAUAUGCUCAUCCCUGCCUAGACAAAGCCAAGGCAACAAGACUUCAUCCAUAAGGAGCAGUGCAUAGUGUGGGCUCUUCAACCAAUCUUAACUGGCUAUCAAGGAAGAAAAACUGGCGG